GUGGGGAAUAUUGGACAAUGGGGGAAACCCUGAUCCAGCCAUGCCGCGUGUGUGAAGAAGGCCUUCGGGUUGUAAAGCACUUUAAGCAGGGAGGAAAGGGUGUUGGCUAAUAUCCAGCAUCAUUGACGUUACCUGCAGAAUAAGCACCGGCUAACUUCGUGCCAGCAGCCGCGGUAAUACGAAGGGUGCAAGCGUUAAUCGGAAUUACUGGGCGUAAAGCGCGCGUAGGCGGUUUGGUAAGUGUGAUGUGAAAGCCCCGGGCUCAACCUGGGAAUUGCCUCACAUACUGCUAAGCUAGAGUACGGGAGAGGGGGGUAGAAUUCCACGUGUAGCGGUGAAAUGCGUAGAGAUGUGGAGGAAUACCGGUGGCGAAGGCGGCCCCCUGGAUCGAUACUGACGCUGAGGUGCGAAAGCGUGGGGAGCAAACAGGAUUAGAUACCCGGGUAGUCC
rnacentral:rRNA from 1 species